rnacentral:rRNA from 1 species
CGCUGAGACUCCUACGGGAGGCAGCAGUGGGGAAUAUUGCACAAUGGGCGCAAGCCUGAUGCAGCCAUGCCGCGUGUAUGAAGAAGGCCUUCGGGUUGUAAAGUACUUUCAGCAGUGAGGAAGGUGGUAGUGUUAAUAGCACUAUCAUUUGACGUUAGCUGCAGAAGAAGCACCGGCUAACUCCGUGCCCAGCAGCCGCGGUAAUACGGAGGGUGCGAGCGUUAAUCGGAAUUACUGGGCGUAAAGCGCAUGCAGGUGGUUUGUUAAGUCAGAUGUGAAAGCCCCGGGGCUCAACCUCGGAAUUGCAUUUGAAACUGGCAGACUAGAGUACUGUAGAGGGGGUAGAAUUUCAGGUGUAGCGGUGAAAUGCGUAGAGAUCUGAAGGAAUACCGGUGGCGAAGGCGGCCCCCUGGACAGAUACUGACACUCAGAUGCGAAAGCGUGGGGAGCAAACAGGAUUAGAUACCCUGGUAG